AAGAGAACGAAAAACAAAACCUUAUUCCCACGCUCCAAACCAUGCGAACCCAACUGUAUUUUGCCAUUUUUGGCCAAAUUGCAGAAGCUUUUUAAGUUUCCAGAUUUUGCUUUGCCAUUUCAGGCAAAGUUUUUAUUGUCCUAGUCUUUAUCUUCAGAAGAAAACGGUAACAUACUGCUUUCUUCUUUUUCUUUGCAAUUUUGUGGGAUUUCAAAGGUUUCUAUACGAAUUUGAGUUAGGAUUUGGAUCCCAAGGCUAUUUUCUGAAAGUCCCACAUCAUUUGAAGUUAAAAAAUUGGGACUUUUGGUUCUCCUAUAAAUAGGACCCUCUCCCCUUUACUUUAAGAGAAUUCAGAGGCCAAAAAAUUGGUCUUUUACACCUCAAAUGGGUUUUUGACAAUCCCAAGAGUGAGAACACUUAGAAACCCGGCUAAGCCAUUGAGUUUCAAGGAAGUUCUUGCUCAAGUUUAAUUUUUGGAAAUCGUUUCCGCUCGUCGGAAGUCGAUUCAGGUGAAUAGUGAUUGAUUCAACGUUUGUCGCCCCCGUCGCUGCUGGAAAAAAAGGAACCAAUAUGACAAGCACGGAAAGCAAAAGUUCGAGGACACGAUAAAAGGAUUGGAUGCUUGGAGCUUCGGAUGAAAGAUUAGAAGGGUAUAGAAGAAACAGAACAAGGUUGCCGAAUGAUUUGGGCCCAAGGCCUUAAAAGCUAAACUUUCUUUCCUUUCCUUUAGUAUAAGUUUUACAUUAUUUUCUGUAUGAUAUGCAAAUACACAUUUGUAUAGAUAUUGAAACCCCUACAGGUUAGAACCUGGAUUUGGAUAGACGAUGUUUCAAAACUAUAUCCAAAUGAUAAAGGAGUUGUAUUCAACUUGAUUAAAAUAAAUAAGAGUGAAAGUAUAUUUUUCUUGCAAAA